GGGAAAGUUUUUCGGUGUAGGAUGAGACUAUAUAGUAUCAGCUAGUUGGUAAGGUAAUGGCUUACCAAGGCUAUGACGCUUAACUGGUCUGAGAGGAUGAUCAGUCACACUGGAACUGAGACACGGUCCAGACUCCUACGGGAGGCAGCAGUAGGGAAUAUUGCGCAAUGGGGGAAACCCUGACGCAGCAACGCCGCGUGGAGGAUGACACUUUUCGGAGCGUAAACUCCUUUUCUUAGGGAAGAAUUCUGACGGUACCUAAGGAAUAAGCACCGGCUAACUCCGUGCCAGCAGCCGCGGUAAUACGGAGGGUGCAAGCGUUACUCGGAAUCACUGGGCGUAAAGGGCGCGUAGGCGGAUUAUCAAGUCUCUUGUGAAAUCUAAUGGCUUAACCAUUAAACUGCUUGGGAAACUGAUAGUCUAGAGUGAGGGAGAGGCAGAUGGAAUUGGUGGUGUAGGGGUAAAAUCCGUAGAUAUCACCAAGAAUACCCAUUGCGAAGGCGAUCUGCUGGAACUCAACUGACGCUAAGGCGCGAAAGCGUGGGGAGCAAACAGGAUUAGAUACCCUGGUAGUCCACGCCCUAAACGAUGUACACUAGUUGUUGGGGUGCUAGUCAUCUCAGUAAUGCAGCUAACGCAUUAAGUGUACCGCCUGGGGAGUACGGUCGCAAGAUUAAAACUCAAAGGAAUAGACGGGGACCCGCACAAGCGGUGGAGCAUGUGGUUUAAUUCGAGGAUACGCGAAGAACCUUACCUGGGCUUGAUAUCCUAAGAACCUUUUAGAGAUAAGAGGGUGCUAGCUUGCUAGAACUUAGAGACAGGUGCUGCACGGCUGUCGUCAGCUCGUGUCGUGAGAUGUUGGGUUAAGUCCCGCAACGAGCGCAACCCACGUAUUUAGUUGCUAACGGUUCGGCCGAGCACUCUAAAUAGACUGCCUUCGUAAGGAGGAGGAAGGUGUGGACGACGUCAAGUCAUCAUGGCCCUUAUGCCCAGGGCGACACACGUGCUACAAUGGCAUAUACAAUGAGACGCAAUACCGCGAGGUGGAGCAAAUCUAUAAAAUAUGUCCCAGUUCGGAUUGUUCUCUGCAACUCGAGAGCAUGAAGCCGGAAUCGCUAGUAAUCGUAGAUCAGCCAUGCUACGGUGAAUACGUUCCCGGGUCUUGUACUCACCGCCCGUCACACCAUGGGAGUUGAUUUCACUCGAAGCCGGAAUACUAAACUAGUUACCGUCCACAGUGGAAUCAGCGACUGGGGUGAAGUCGUAACAAGGUAACCGUAGGAGAACCUGCGGUUGGAUCACCUCCUUUCUA
rnacentral:rRNA from 1 species